rnacentral:rRNA from 1 species
UACGUAGGGGGCUAGCGUUGUCCGGAAUCAUUGGGCGUAAAGCGCGUGUAGGCGGCCCGAUAAGUCCGCUGUGAAAGUCCAGGGCUCAACCCUGGGAUGCCGGUGGAUACUGUCGGGCUCGAGUCCGGAAGAGGCGAGUGGAAUUCCUGGUGUAGCGGUGAAAUGCGCAGAUAUCAGGAGGAACACCAAUGGCGAAGGCAGCUCGCUGGGACGUGACUGACGCUGAGACGCGAAAGCGUGGGGAGCAACAGG